AAAUGCAUGCUUGUCCAAGCCAAGCACCCAAGCUAACUGGCUAAAGUUGGCUAGUUUGCUAGCUAGCUACUUCCAGACACAAAUGAGAGAACACCUCACUCUUACCAUUUUACUUGCCGUAGCAAAACUGGUUAGGCUGUUUACAUGUUAUCUAGAGCAUUCUUGACUAACUAUUACUUUUUUUGCCUACGUUUACUGACACCUGUCAUAUUCAGCGGGUGUUACGCGUUCAUAAAUUCAUCAGUUGUUCUGCGAUCUGGCACACUCCGACGAGAGUGCUCUGAAAUCGGAGUAGAUAGCCAGAGUGAAUUUGCGAAUGCAAGAGAUAUGUUAACUGGGCUGUAGAUCUCAGAUGACCUCUCCCCUUUGUCCUCGGAACCCUGGUCUGCCCUCACAGCCACUCCCCUCUCCUCGGCUGUCCUAAACUCUGUGGGAAACCUCCCAGCGCAUUGUGUCGUCUGGACAUUGUGUGUCCUUUAAGAUAAUGCCCCGACCUCAAUAUCCCACUUCCCUUCCAUACAAUCCCCACCCUCCCAGCUGAAGAAGUGCUGUGUGAAGUAUGGUGCCCAGCACUAACUGGCAUAUAAGUGGGGGACUGGGGAGAGCCAGAGAGAUCCUGGCUGUGGGGUUAAAAGGUGCUUUCCAACUAGCCUCGCAGGACAGCAGCACAGCCUCUAACUCCCUGCUCCUGUACAUUUGGAAUUUCACCUAUUCAAAUCCCCCUGCUUUUCUAGUGAGUGUCAGAACUUCAUGAAUAAUUGGACGGUUAGAGAGAAGUCCUGGUCUGGCUGCUUGACCUCUCCCCAGGACUUCAGUCAUUACAGCUGGUGAUUGGGUCGUUAGCCAGCUUGUGUUGUAUGUGUGUAAUGAGCACAAUUUAGAGUCUGAUUGAUUUAUGAAGCGUUUGUAUUUCCCCAGGUAUAUUCAAGAGGAGAUAAAGCAUGAAAGAUAGAAAUAAUUGUCAAUGUAAGUGUAAAUAAAAAUGGUCAAAC
ensembl:lncRNA